rnacentral:rRNA from 1 species
UACGAAGGAUGCAAGCGUUAUCCGGAUUUAUUGGGUUUAAAGGGUGCGUAGGCGGGUUUAUAAGUCAGUGGUGAAAUCCUAUAGCUCAACUAUAGAAUUGCCAUUGAUACUGUAGAUCUUGAGUAUGGUUGACGUGGCUGGAAUGUGUAGUGUAGCGGUGAAAUGCUUAGAUAUUACACAGAACACCCAUUGCGAAGGCAGGUCACGAAGCCAUAACUGACGCUGAGGCACGAAAGCGUGGGGAGCAAACAGG